AGUGAACGCUGGCGGUAGGCCUAACACAUGCAAGUCGAACGGCAGCACAGUAAGAGCUUGCUCUUACGGGUGGCGAGUGGCGGACGGGUGAGGAAUACAUCGGAAUCUACUUUUUCGUGGGGGAUAACGUAGGGAAACUUACGCUAAUACCGCAUACGACCUACGGGUGAAAGCAGGGGAUCUUCGGACCUUGCGCGAUUGAAUGAGCCGAUGUCGGAUUAGCUAGUUGGCGGGGUAAAGGCCCACCAAGGCGACGAUCCGUAGCUGGUCUGAGAGGAUGAAUAGCCACACUGGGACUGAGACACGGGUCCGAAUCCUACGGGGAGGCACAGUGGGGAAUAAUUGACCAUGGGGGGAAGCCUGAUCCAGCCAUACCGCGUGGGUGAAGAAGGCCUUCGGGUUGUAAAGCCCUUUUGUUGGGAAAGAAAAGCAGCAGGUUAAUACCCCGCUGUUCUGACGGUACCCAAAGAAUAAGCACCGGCUAACUUCGUG
rnacentral:rRNA from 1 species